UUGAAUUUAUGUCAUUUCCAGAUAAACUCGGCGUUUUAUGUAAAAGAUAUUUUGUGUUUUAAUAGUUCUUCUCUCUGAAGACAAUAGUUGGUUAUGGCUGUGGAUAAUAAUCAGGAUACCAAAGUUAAAGGAGAUAUACAUGUAUAUGUUUCUUUGUGGUGAAAGUGCAAGAAAUAACACCAUAUUGUGACUUACAAAAUGAUCACUCAUACUACAUGCAAUACAGGGAAAGGCAUCAAACCAAGCCUCUAGAAGACAUACAUUUGUAGAAUGUAUUUUCUAUGAUGUACAUGUACACGUCGCAGAGGAUACAACGUACUUUAUGUACCAAAAAAUCAAAUACAAAUUGUGUCAGCUCCGGUGACAAACUUAAGACGGAAGUUAACCAGAGUAUGAAAUCACCAUUAUCAAUAUGUAAAAUCCAACCAGUGACUAUAUAUUUAUUCAAAUAGUGUCAUGAAUGGAAUUAAAAAAGGACUUGGAAAAUUAACAUGUUUUAAUAUUGCUUUGUGUGUGUGAAUAAAAUUUGUCAGCAAGAA